rnacentral:rRNA from 1 species
GGGCCGAUGGUACUGCACGGGUAGCUGUGUGGGAGAGUAGGUCGCCGCCGGGA